UACGUAGGGUGCAAGCGUUAAUCGGAAUUACUGGGCGUAAGGCGUGCGCAGGCGGCUUUGCAAGACAGAUGUGAAAUCCCCGGGCUCAACCUGGGAACUGCAUUUGUGACUGCAUGGCUAGAGUACGGUAGAGGGGGAUGGAAUUCCGCGUGUAGCAGUGAAAUGCGUAGAUAUGCGGAGGAACACCGAUGGCGAAGGGAAUCCCCUGGGCCUGUACUGACGCUCAUGCACGAAAGCGUGGGGAGCAAACAGG
rnacentral:rRNA from 1 species